AGAGUUUGAUUAUGGCUCAGGACUAACGUUGGCGGCGUGCGUAAUACAUGCAAGUCGAGCGGGGUGGUAGCAAUACCAUCUAGCGGCGAACGGGUGAGUAACACGUGGAUGAUCUACCCUUUAGAUCGGGACAACUGACCGAAAGGUUAGCUAAUACCGGGUAUGACCACGGCCUGUAUCAUCAGGCUGCGGUAAGAGCAGGGGACCGCAAGGCCUUGCGCUAAAGGAUGAGUCCGCGGCUGAUUAGCUAGUUGGCGGGGUAAUGGCCCACCAAGGCGACGAUCAGUAGCCGGCCUGAGAGGGUGACCGGCCACACUGGGACUGAGACACGGCCCAGACUCCUACGGGAGGCAGCAGUAGGGAAUUUUCCACAAUGGGCGAAAGCCUGAUGGAGCAACGCCGCGUGAGGGAUGAAGCAUUUCGGUGUGUAAACCUCUUUGGAGCGGGAAGAAUGGCUUCGUGGUGAAUAAUCAUGGAGCGUGACGGUACCGCUAGAACAAGACACGGCUAACUUCGUGCCAGCAGCCGCGGUAAUACGAAGGUGUCAAACGUUGUCCGGAAUUAUUGGGCGUAAAGGGCGCGUAGGCGGCCAGGUAAGUCAGAUGUGAAAGCUCUGGGCUCAACCCAGGAAUUGCAUUUG
rnacentral:rRNA from 1 species